rnacentral:rRNA from 1 species
UACGGGGGGGGCAAGCGUUGUUCGGAAUUACUGGGCGUAAAGGGCCAGUAGGCGGCCAACUAAGUCCGACGUGAAAUCCCCAGGCUCAACCUGGGAACUGCGUCCGAUACUGGAUGGCUUGAAUUCGGGAGAGGGAUGCAGAAUUCCAGGUGUAGCGGUGAAAUGCGUAGAUAUCUGGAGGAAUACCGGUGGCGAAGGCGGCAUCCUGGACCGACAUUGACGCUGAGGAGCGAAAGCUAGGGGAGCAAACAGG